UCGACUUUGCUGUUCCAAAGUGCUCACAGUGCAGGUAGGGCACACGGAUCUACUGCAGUUUGUGCACUUCAGGUAUUGCCGGUCACCUUC
ensembl:miRNA